rnacentral:rRNA from 1 species
AAUCAACGCUGGCGGCGUGCCUAACACAUGCAAGUCGAACGCGAAAGGGGAGCAAUCCCUGAUUAGAGUGGCAAACGGGUGAGUAACACGUGGGUGACCUGCCUUCGAGUGGGGGAUAACCUUCCGAAAGGAGGGCUAAUACCGCAUGACAUACCGUGUUUGGAUACACGGAUAUCAAAGCCGGGGAUCGCAAGACCUGGCGCUUGAAGAGGGGCCCGCGUCCGAUUAGCUAGUUGGUGAGGUAACGGCUCACCAAGGCUCCGAUCGGUAUCCGGCCUGAGAGGGCGGACGGACACACUGGAACUGAGACACGGUCCAGACUCCUACGGGAGGCAGCAGUGAGGAAUAUUGGGCAAUGCCCGGAAGGGUGACCCAGCAACGCCGCGUGAAGGAUGAAAGCCGUAAGGUUGUAAACUUCUGUUAGAGGGGACGAAUAGCUUCGAUCAAAUCGGAGUUUGACGGUACCAUCAGAGGAAGCACCGGCUAACUCCGUGCCAGCAGCCGCGGUAAUACGGAGGGUGCAAGCGUUGUUCGGAAUUACUGGGCGUAAAGCGCGCGUAGGCGGUUUGUUAAGUCAGAUGUGAAAGCCCAGGGCUUAACCUUGGACGUGCAUUUGAAACUG